GUAUGUGAGACCUUAAUCCAAUAGGACUGGUGUCUUGACAAGAAGAGGAGAAGAACAGACACACAUCAUGUGAAUGCCACGUGAGGAUGGAAGCAGAGAUCGAGAUCAAGAGAUUCAACAUGAACCCAACCAAAAUUCCAGUGAAGUAUCUACAGAGAAACAAGCUCAUCCUGAAAUGUAUGUGGAGAUGCAAAUGCCCUAGAAUAGAUUCAUUUUUUUAAAGAGAAGAAGUUGGAGAACUUAUCUGAUCAUGGGGAACUGAUUGAAAAGCUAGACACAGAUUAAUGGAACAUCACAGAGUUCAGAAAUAUACCAAGUGCAUGGCUGAUUGAUUUUGAUAAAGGCACCAAGAUAAUUCAGUGAGGACAAAAAAGUUUUGCAACAAAUGGUGAUGGGACAACUGAAUGCCUACAUGGCAAAAAUAAACAUCAAAUCUUACUACAUAACAUACACAAAAUUAACUAGAAAUGAAUCACAGACAAACGUAAAAGCUAAAAGUAUAAACUUCUAGAAGAAAACAUAGAAGAAAAUCUAUGAACUUGGGUUCAUACUUGGUAAGUACUUGGUAAGUACUUACUUGGGUAAGUAAAGAUUUCUAAGACACAAGAAACACAGACCAUAAAAGAAAAAAAAUGAUAAAUCACAAUUUAUCGAAAUUAAAAAUUUUGCUCUGUUAAAGACACAGUUAAGAAAAUGGGAGGAAGAAAAAAAAAAAAAAGAAAAUGGGAGGAAAAAAAUAAAAGCAACAGACUGAAAGAAUAUACAUACAUUUGACAAAGGACUUGUAGCCAGAAUCUAUAAAGAACCCUUGGAACUUACUCGUAAAACAACCUGGGGCACCAGGGUGGCUCAGUCAGUUAAGCAUCUGACUCUUGAUCUCUGCUCAGGUCAUGAUCUCAGGGUCCAGGAAAAGAGCCCCAAGUCAUGCUCCCUGCUCAGUGGCAUUGGUGUUUGCAGCCCUUGGCCUACAAUCUUUCCACGUGUGUCUGCAGCCUCUCUCCUAUCAGAGUGGAUCUCCAGGUUCUUUGAGGAUCAUCCCCGUAACUUCUAUAGUAUCCACCGCCCUCAGUUCCCUACAACACCUGCUAUGGGACUGUUGACUAAAGACGCCUCGGUAUGUGACCGGCUGUCACUUCCAACAAAAUCUUUGAAGAUGAUAACAGGUACUUUUAUUAAGCAGUUACUGUGUAUCUGGCUCUAUUCUAAGCAACUCAGGACUUGGGUACUUAGGUGAUUAGGUUUUUACCUACCCCACGAAGAGACAAGCAAGGUAUGUAAGUUGCCCAACAUCACCCAGUAAAUGGUGGAGCUGGGGUUUGAAGUCAGUGGUCAGUCUGGAACAUAUCCUCGCAACCACUAGUCUACAUGUCAUUCUAGAUUGAUUUGUCUUUGGUAUAAGGUGGUUGUUUGUUUUUUUUUUAACCUAAUGGGAGAAACUGAGAAACUGAAGCAUGAAAGAGACCCAAGUCUCACCCAGGAUCAAAUAAAGCUGAGUACCCGGGACUUUAUUCCAAAAGAGCCAGAAGUAAAUUCCCUAGGCUGCUGUUUCAUGUAGGUACCUGAUGCUACUGGACAGAGACCGUCCCAUUCUAGGCCAUCAUUAUUUUUCCAAGUGUCAGAGAUUUGGGAGUAGCAGUGAACAUUUUGGAGAGAUACAAGAACCUACUCAGAAAAAAUGUUUAGAAAGCUUCCUUUUGGGAUCCCUGGGUGGCGCAGCGGUUUGGCGCCUGCCUUUGGCCCAGGGCGCGAUCCUGGAGACCCGGGAUCAAAUCCCACAUCAGG